UACGUAGGUGGCAAGCGUUGUCCGGAUUUACUGGGUGUAAAGGGCGAGUAGGCGGGAUAUCAAGUCAGGUGUGAAAUCCAUGGGCUCAACCCAUGAACUGCACUUGAAACUGAUAUUCUUGAGUGAUGGAGAGGCAGGCGGAAUUCCCGGUGUAGCGGUGGAAUGCGUAGAUAUCGGGAGGAACACCAGUGGCGAAGGCGGCCUGCUGGACAUUAACUGACGCUGAGGAGCGAAAGCGUGGGGAGCAAACAGG
rnacentral:rRNA from 1 species